rnacentral:rRNA from 1 species
UCAGUUGUGAAAGUUUGCGGCUCAACCGUAAAAUUGCAGUUGAUACUGGAUGUCUUGAGUGCAGUUGAGGCAGGCGGAAUUCGUGGUGUAGCGGUGAAAUGCUUAGAUAUCACGAAGAACUCCGAUUGCGAAGGCAGCCUGCUAAGCUGCAACUGACAUUGAGGCUCGAAAGUGUGGGUAUCAAACAGGAUUAGAUACCCUGGUAGUCCACACGGUAAACGAUGAAUACUCGCUGUUUGCGAUAUACGGCAAGCGGCCAAGUGAAAGCGUUAAGUAUUCCACCUGGGGAGUACGCCGGCAACGGUGAAACUCAAAGGAAUUGACGGGGGCCCGCACAAGCGGAGGAACAUGUGGUUUAAUUCGAUGAUACGCGAGGAACCUUACCCGGGCUUAAAUUGCAGAUGAAUUACGGUGAAAGCCGUAAGCCGCAAGGCAUCUGUGAAGGUGCUGCAUGGUUGUCGUCAGCUCGUGCCGUGAGGUGUCGGCUUAAG